rnacentral:rRNA from 1 species
GACGAACGCUGGCGGCGUGCUUAACACAUGCAAGUCGAACGGUAAGGCAAGUCGGGGUACACGAGUGGCGAACGGGUGAGUAACACGUGGGUGAUCUGCCCUGCACUUCGGGAUAAGCCUGGGAAACUGGGUCUAAUACCGGAUAGGACCAUUGCCUGCAUGGGUGGUGGUGGAAAGCUUUUGCGGUGUGGGAUGGGCCCGCGGCCUAUCAGCUUGUUGGUGGGGUGAUGGCCUACCAAGGCGACGACGGGUAGCCGGCCUGAGAGGGUGACCGGCCACACUGGGACUGAGAUACGGCCCAGACUCCUACGGGAGGCAGCAGUGGGGAAUAUUGCACAAUGGGCGCAAGCCUGAUGCAGCGACGCCGCGUGAGGGAUGACGGCCUUCGGGUUGUAAACCUCUUUCAGCACCGACGAAGCGCAAGUGACGGUAGGUGCAGAAGAAGGACCGGCCAACUACGUGCCAGCCGCCGCCGUAA